CCUANGGGUGGCAGCAGUGAGGAAUAUUGGGCAAUGCCCGCAAGGGUGACCCAGCAAUGCCGCGUGCAGGAUGAAGGCCUUCGGGUUGUAAACUGCUUUUGUACGGAACGAAACGGUCUGCCCUAAUACGGUGGGCUAAUGACGGUACCGUAAGAAUAAGCACCGGCUAACUACGUGCCAGCAGCCGCGGUAAUACGUAGGGUGCGAGCGUUAAUCGGAAUUACUGGGCGUAAAGCGUGCGCAGGCGGUUAUAUAAGACAGAUGUGAAAUCCCCGGGCUCAACCUGGGACCUGCAUUUGUGACUGUAUAGCUAGAGUACGGUAGAGGGGGAUGGAAUUCCGCGUGUAGCAGUGAAAUGCGUAGAUAUGCGGAGGAACACCGAUGGCGAAGGCAAUCCCCUGGACCUGUACUGACGCUCAUGCACGAAAGCGUGGGGAGCAAACAGGAUUAGAUACCCGGNUANUC
rnacentral:rRNA from 1 species